UGGGGAAUUUUGGACAAUGGGCGCAAGCCUGAUCCAGCCAUGCCGCGUGAGUGAAGAAGGCCUUCGGGUUGUAAAGCUCUUUCGGCGGGGACGAAAUGGUACGUGCUAAUACCACGGAUCGAUGACGGUACCCGAAGAAGAAGCACCGGCUAACUACGUGCCAGCAGCCGCGGUAAUACGUAGGGUGCAGGCGUUAAUCGGAAUUACUGGGCGUAAAGCGUGCGCAGGCGGUUUGCUAAGACAGGUGUGAAAUCCCCGGGCUUAACCUGGGAACUGCGCUUGUUACUGGCAGGCUAGAGUGUGGCAGAGGGGGGUAGAAUUCCAGGUGUAGCAGUGAAAUGCGUAGAUAUCUGGAGGAAUACCGAUGGCGAAGGCAGCCCCCUGGGUUAACACUGACGCUCAUGCACGAAAGCGUGGGGAGCAAACAGGAUUAGAUACCCGCGUAGUCC
rnacentral:rRNA from 1 species